rnacentral:lncRNA from 1 species
GCCGCGCCUGAAGCUCAACUUCCGAGGCUCUCAUCAAUCUACGCUUCCUUUGGAGCGUGCAGCCACCAGGUGGCAGCCGAGGCCACGGGCAGACAGAAAAGCUCCCGAAACUGAAGGACUGCCAGGCAGCAGAGUUCCGGAGGGCUCCCAGGACCUUCAACCAGAAAGAGACAGAGCAUAUGCGCAUAUCCCUGCAAGGAAUGUACUAUAGAGCCAAUUUUACCGGCAAAGGAAUGGAAGAUCUGAAAGGCUAGGCGAUCCCACAAGCAUCGAGGAGCAGGCUGGAAUUUGAACCAAUCGGCAUGAUUCCCAAGCUCAAGCUUUUGGCCACCCCUGCACUGCCAGGGACAAAAAAAAAAAAAAAAAAAAACCCUGGGAGGAGAGCCAAGCUAGGGAGUCAAGACCCUCCAGCCAGGUCUGGAUGGGAGGCAGGUGCCUCCACCCUGGUCCCAGAGCAAGUUCUGCUGGCUUCAGCCACCUGACUUCCCUGUGAAGGUGGGUAGAGGCCAGAGCAGACUGUGUGUGAUUCUGGCCCCAGCCCCAGCACCUCUACCCCCACCUUUACUACCCCUAGGCUGCGGGAAGAGGCUUUGCCCAGCAAUAGUCCUGAUCUAAUGGAUCCUUGAAGCACAAUAAACAGAUAGUAUUUCUGCAUGUGUCAAAAAAAAA